UGAGGAGAUUUUCUGGGAGGCGUGAAUCUCAUCUGCAAGAAGAUGAAUCCACUGUGGUUCUUCCUCUUUCUGCUGUCAGCUCCCAGAGGUGUCCUGUCCCAGGUGCAGCUGCAGGAGUCGGGGCCCAGCCUGGUGAAGCCCUCGCAGACCCUCUCCCUCACCUGCACGGUCUCCGGAUUCUCAAUUACCAGCUAUAGUGUAUACUGGAUCCGCCAGGCUCCAGGAAAGGGGCUGGAGUGGCUUGGUGCUAUGGGUAGUGGUGGAAGUGCAUAUUAUAACUCAGCCCUGAAGUCCCGGCUCAGCAUCACCAGGGACACCUCCAAGAGCCAAGUCUCCAUGUCACUGAGCAGCGUGACCCCCGAGGACACGGCCGUCUAUUACUGUGCAAAAUGCACAGUGAUGGGAAGUCCGUGUGUCGUGUCCCAGGUGCAGCUGCAGGAGUCGGGGCCCAGCCUGGUGAAGCCCUCGCAGACCCUCUCCCUCAUCUGCACAGUCUCCGGAUUCUCAAUUACCAGCUAUAGUGUAGGCUGGGUCCGCCAGGCUCCAGGAAAGGGCCUGGAGUACCUUGGUGCUAUGGGUUAUGGAGGAAGCGCAUAUAAUAACUCAGCCCUGAAGUCCCGACUCAGCAUCACCAGGGACACCUCCAAGAGCCAAGUCUCCAUGUCACUGAGCAGCGUGACCCCGAGGACACGGCCAACUAUUACUUUGCAAGAGGCACAGUGA